rnacentral:rRNA from 1 species
AUUGAACGCUGGCGGCAGGCCUAACACAUGCAAGUCGAGCGGAUGAAGGGAGCUUGCUCCUGGAUUCAGCGGCGGACGGGUGAGUAAUGCCUAGGAAUCUGCCUGGUAGUGGGGGAUAACGUCCGGAAACGGGCGCUAAUACCGCAUACGUCCUGAGGGAGAAAGUGGGGGAUCUUCGGACCUCACGCUAUCAGAUGAGCCUAGGUCGGAUUAGCUAGUUGGUGGGGUAAAGGCCUACCAAGGCGACGAUCCGUAACUGGUCUGAGAGGAUGAUCAGUCACACUGGAACUGAGACACGGUCCAGACUCCUACGGGAGGCAGCAGUGGGGAAUAUUGGACAAUGGGCGAAAGCCUGAUCCAGCCACGCCGCGUGUGUGAAGAAGGUCUUCGGAUUGUAAAGCACUUUAAGUUGGGAGGAAGGGCAGUAGGUUAAUACCUUGCUGUUUUGACGUUACCAACAGAAUAAGCACCGGCUAACUUCGUG